AUACGGAGGGUGCAAGCGUUGUCCGGAUUUAUUGGGUUGAAAGGGUGCGUAGGUGGCGUGUUAAGUCAGUGGUGAAAGCCUGCAGCUCAACUGUAGAGGUGCCAUUGAUACUGACAUGCUUGAGUAUGGACGAGGUAGGCGGAAUUUGUGGUGUAGCGGUGAAAUGCAUAGAUACCACAAAGAACACCGAUAGCGAAGGCAGCUUACUGAACCAUAACUGACACUGAGGCACGAAAGUGUGGGUAGCGAACAGGAUUAGAUACCCUAGUAGUCC
rnacentral:rRNA from 1 species